rnacentral:rRNA from 1 species
CGGCCAAAUUCAAUCGUGCUGACGCUAGCUCGCGCAUGCAGUCGACCGAUCGUACAAGCGAUUGCGAUCGGUUAUUACAUGUGACAUCACACUUGCGAUCGGCAUCUAGAGUGCAUGUAGUAUCCGAUCGCAGAGGCUGAGCUGCGAUGAUCAUCAAGAUGCUGCGUAUCACGUCGACGAUGCGUAUAGACGAUCAUGCUGCAUCGCGUAACUGGAGGCUAGGUGCUAGACUCGCGGCGAAGAACACGAGGAAUGGCUAGUCCAUGCACAGAACGCAGCAGUCGCGCAGAUUAAUCGAUGCCCGACCUCGGGGAGGUAGUCGACAAUGAAUACUGAUACACGGUCCCUUUCGGAGCCGUUGUAAGUUCGAGAUGAGUCCAACUGUACAUCCCGUCAACGAGGAGCAAGUGGAGGGCACGUCUGGCAGCCAGCAGAGGGUGGUACAUCAAGCUCCAAUAGCGUAUAUAAAGUUGUUUGCUGAAAAAGUUCGUAGUGAAGCAUUAGGCAGUCUGGACGGUCUGUCUUCUCCGAAUGCAAUGCUCACGCCGGACCUUUCCAUGUGAGGAACCCCAUACCCUUCACUGGGCGUGGCGGGGAAACAGGACAUUUACUUUGAAAAAAUUAGAGUGCUCCAGGCAGGCCUAUGCUCGAAUACAUUAGCAUGGAAUAAUAAAAUAGGACGCGCGGUUCUAUUUUGUUGGUUUAUAGGACCGCCGUAAUGAUUAAUAGGGACAGUCGGGGGCAUCAGUAUUCAACUGUCAGAGGUGAAAUUCUUGGAUCAGUUGAAGACUAACUACUGCGAAAGCAUUUGCCAAGGAUGUUUUCAUUAAUCAGGAACGAAAGUUAGGGGAUCGAAGACGAUCAGAUACCGUCGUAGUCUUAACCAUAAACUAUGCCGACUAGGGAUCG